CAACUCACCUCCUCCUCCAUCACCUGUUACAAGUACAACUCACCCCUCCUCCUACACCGGUUUACAAGACAACACCCUCCCCUCCUCCUCUCAACCACCGUUACAAAUACAAACUCCCCUCCUCCUCCAUCACCGGUUUACAAGUACAACUCCCCUCCUCCUCCAUCACCGGUUUACAAGUACAACUCCCCCCCUCCUCCAACACCGGUUUACAAGUACAACUCCCCUCCUCCUCCAACACCGGUUUACAAGUACAACUCCCCACCUCCUCCAACACCGGUUUACAAGUACAAGUCACCACCUCCACCGUCACCAACUUACGAGUACAAAUCUCCUCCUCCUCCAACACCAGUUUACAAGUACAAAUCUCCACCUCCACCAUCACCUACAUAUGUGUACAAGUCUCCUCCACCACCAACACCAGUUUACAAGUACAACUCACCACCUCCACCAUCCCCAUCACAUCCCC
rnacentral:lncRNA from 1 species